rnacentral:rRNA from 1 species
AUUGAACGCUGGCGGCAGGCUUAACACAUGCAAGUCGAGCGGGGUGAUGGUGCUUGCACUAUCACUUAGCGGCGGACGGGUGAGUAAUGCUUAGGAAUCUGCCUACUAGUGGGGGACAACAUCUCGAAAGGGAUGCUAAUACCGCAUACGUCCUACGGGAGAAAGCAGGGGAUCACUUGUGGCCUUGCGCUAAUAGAUGAGCCUAAGUCGGAUUAGCUAGUUGGUGGGGUAAAGGCCUACCAAGGCGACGAUCUGUAGCGGGUCUGAGAGGAUGAAACGCCCCACUGGGACUGAGACGCGGCCCAGACGCCUACGGGAGGCAGUAGGGAGGAAUAUUGGACAGUGGGGGGAACCCUGAACCAGCCAUGCCGCGUGUGGGAAGAAGGCUUUAUGGUUGUAAAGCACUUUAAGCGAGGAGGAGGCUCUUUUGGUUAAUACCCAAGAUGAGUGGACGUUACUCGCAGAAUAAGCACCGGCUAACUCUGUGCCAGCAGCCGCCGUAA